rnacentral:rRNA from 1 species
CAAAAAAUUUAGCCCUAUUUUACAUAUGAAAACAAUUUUUUAUUUACUUAAACUAAAACAUUCUUAAAGCCUAGUAAAGGAGAUUAAAAAGCCUUUAGGAGCUAUAAAACUAGUACCGCAAGGGAAAAAUGAAAUAAAAAUGAAAUAAAAAUUAAGCAUAAAAAAGCAGAGAUUUUCCCUCGUACCUUUUGCAUCAUGGUUUAACUAGUCUAACCAAGCAAAAAGAAUUAAAGUUUGACCUCCCGAAACUAAGUGAGCUACUUCAAGGCAGCUUAAUGAGCCAACCCGUCUCUGUUGCAAAAGAGUGGGAAGACCUUCAAGUAGGGGUGAUAGACCUACCGAACUUAGUGAUAGCUGGUUAUUCAAGAAAAGAAUAUUAGUUCAACUUAAAAUUUUCUUAAUUAAACAAAAUUAUACUAAAAUUUUUAAGUAAUUCAAAUAAGGUACAGCCUAUUUGAAACAGGAUACAACCUCUUCUAACGGGUAAUUUCUAUUUACUCAGACAAGUAGGCCUAAUAGCAGCCAACUUUUAAAAAGCGUCAAAGCUUAUCUGUUUAAAAAUUCAAUUCCUAAAUAAACACUAAACCCUUUAUUUAUAAUGAAUAAUUCUAUAUUUUUAUAGAAAAUUUUAUGUUAAAACUAGUAACAAGAAGAUAAUACUUCUCUUAAAUGUAUGCGUAUAUCAGCAAGGAUAAGCCACUGAUAAUUAACGUACGUGAACAAAUAGUAGUAACAUCUCAAGAAAAAUCUACUAAGUCUAUCGUUAACCUUACACAAGAACAUUAAAAGAAAGAUUAAAAGAAAAGGAAGGAACUCGGCAAACAUUAACCUCGCCUGUUUACCAAAAACAUCGCCUCUUGUUUCCUCAUAAGAGGUCUAGCCUGCCCAGUGACUCAAUUCAACGGCCGCGGUAUCCUAACCGUGCGAAGGUAGCGUAAUCACUUGUUCUUUAAAUGAGGACUAGUAUGAAUGGCAUCACGAGGGUUAUACUGUCUCCCUUUUUUAAUCAGUGAAACUAAUCUUCCCGUGAAGAAGCGGGAAUAGAAUUAUAAGACGAGAAGACCCUAUGGAGCUUUAAACUAAGCAACAAUUGUUCUAAACUACUCCCUCUUCAGUUAAAAUUAUAUCUUAACAUUAUGAUUGCUAGUUUUUGGUUGGGGUGACCGCGGAGCAUAAAACAACCUCCACAAUGAAAGAAACUUAAUUUCUUAACCCAGAGCUACAACUCUAAGUAUCAAAAAUUUGACAUACAUUGAUCCAAUAUAUUGAUCAACGAACCAAGUUACCCUAGGGAUAACAGCGCAAUCCACUUCAAGAGCCCAUAUCGACAAGUGGGUUUACGACCUCGAUGUUGGAUCAGGGUAUCCCAGUGGUGCA